CGACGGGAACUCCAUCUGUCACCCCAUUGAUCGCCAGGGUUGAUUCGGCUGAUCUGGCUGGCUAGGCGGGUGUCCCCUUCCUCCCUCACCGCUCCAUGUGCGUCCCUCCCGAAGCUGCGCGCUCAGUCGAAGAGGACGACCAUCCCCGAUAGAGGAGGACCGUUCUUCGGUCAAGGGUAUACGAGUAGCUGCGCUCCCCUGCUAGAACCUCCAAACAAGCUCUCAAGGUCCUGUUGGCUCUUAAAGAAAAUUCAAAACAGAUGCGGUGAUGGUUUGGAUGGAAAAUUCAAUCUGUUUUU
ensembl:misc_RNA 7SK 7SK RNA